rnacentral:lncRNA from 1 species
UAAUGCCAGCAGUUAAGAUCAGUGUGAGUGAAGCGAGCCCGAGUCUUCCUGGAGCUUGUUGCAAUGUGCUUGCUUCCCUGAGCCAUGGACACCAAAGGCAGACUUCCCUGGAGGAUGGAGCUCAUUGGUACCUCCAAGUCAAUUCUUUGGGAAUCAAGACGCAAUGAACAGAAUGAGAAUUUCUGACUCUGUCCCUCUGCCUUUUCCAGAGCAGCCAUGAGCAGGAAGAGGGAGGCACUGCACCUCUCCUGCCCUACCCGAGCCCUUCUGAGACCUUCCAUGGCAGAGUUCCUGGUCACCACAGUCACCACGGACCACUCUGCUUGCAGAAGAAAACUGUGUGUGCUCUCAUCAGCCUGGGGCUGCCUAAUCACCUCCUGAUUUAGAGAAUCCUUAAGUCAAAACAAGGAAUACUAGCUGAAAUCACUGUGUUGUUUGUCCACAUUUGCUUGUAAGAUGGGCAGCACCCACACCCGGUGACCACCAAGCCCCCUGGGUUUCCCUGGUCUCUGCUGCUCUGCCCCCUGUAAAGCUUACCCCACCCAAACUCUGCACAUCCUUCAACUGCUCAGACAACACCAAGCUGUUCCUGCGUGCCCCACCUGGAAGCAGUGCCUCCUUGCCUCACCCCCUUUCUAAUCAUCUAAGAACUGGUUAAAGACAGCAGCGAGAUUUCCCAUAUACCCCUCACCCAGGGUCCCCUGGGUUAAUAUCCCACGUUACUGUGGUGCAUUUGCCAAAACUAAGAAACCUACCUUGGUCCACAAUGAUGCACUAAACUUCACACUUCAUUCAGAUGUCCUUGAUUUUCCCUCAAGUCCUUUUUCUGUCCCAGAAUCCCCUCUAGGAUGCACAUUACCUUCAGCUGUCACUUCUCCUUAGGUGCCCCUGAUCUGUGACAGCUCCUCGCCCUUUCCUUGUUUUUCAUGUUCCUGACACUUUGGAGGACUGCUGGUGAGGUAUUUUGUGCAGUGCCUCCGUUUGGGUCUGUCUGAUGCUUUUUCUCAUGCUUAGGAAGGGGAUGGGUUUCUGGGAGGAAGAGCAUAGAGGGGAAGUGCCCCCAUCCUCAUCAUUACCCCUUGCUCUUUAGUACUUACUGCCACAUUCUCCUAGCCUCUCUUCCUGCUUCUUGGGUUCCAUCCGUCCUCUACGAGUGUGUCACAAGAAGUACCCACCUUCUUAUACACAUGCCUGAAUUCAUGCCAUGUGCCAGGCAUCAUGCCAUCCCUGAGGGUCCUAAGACACCACCAGAGGAUGAUUACAGUACCAAAUGCCUUUUCCUGGAUCCUUGGGUCUUGGUGACCUAAGAGAUUCAAGGACCAGGGAAGGUGUCCCACUACAUGGCGAGGUCUCGGGU